rnacentral:lncRNA from 1 species
UAUAUAUAUAUAUAUAUAUAUAUAGAGAGAGAGAGAGAGAGAGAGAGAGAGAGUUUGACUACUAUGCUAUUGAUAGUACCAAGUUCUUGAUACUAUUGAGUUUUUACCGUUAGAUCUACUCUUUAAUCAUUUCCAUCCGUUAGAUUAUACUAUUAAACCAACUACCCACUCAAUCCUAGGGGACCACUAUCAAUUUAACCGGGGGCUACUAUCAUCCUAACCGCACAUCCUUUCAUCCAACGACAAAAAACUCAAUAGUACCAAGAGUUUGGUACUAUUGAUAGUAUAGUAGCAUAAUUCUAUAUAUAUAUAUAUAUAUAGUCCGGCUAUGGUGCUUGUAAAAGCACUAAACACUUGGUGCUUGUAAUUUUUUUACCAUUAGAUCUCAAUCUUUGAUCAUUUUUAUCCGUUAGAUUAUACUAUUCAACCAACCACCCACUCAACCCUAAGGGGCCCACAUCAUCCUAACCUCACAUCCCUUAAUCCAAGGGUCGACAACUUACAAGCACCAAUCACUUCAUACUUUUAAAAGCAUAGGAGCUCAAUUGUAUAUAUAUAUAUAUAUAUAUAUAUAUAUAUAUUGCUAUGAUAGUAUCAAAAUUUUCGAAUAAGAAUAUCUUUUGUAUUAUCUCAAUUUUUUGAGACAACAACUAUAAAUAAAAGUAGAACUAAAAUUAAAACCUAAAAAAUCUGAUGACCUCUUGCAUACCAUUGGUUUUUUAGAUACUUGAAUAGGUAAAAUAUGGAUUUUUUUUUUAGAGAAAUAUAGCAGAAUACUACCUAUUUUGUUUAUUUUUUUUUAUAAAUAAACUUUUAUAAAUAAACUUAGCUGAAAAUAUGAAUCAAUUAGGAUUCGAAUUUGGGACAUCAAGUACCAACGAUCAAAUCCUUUGCCACUUGCGUUAGAGAGAGACAGCUGUAGGUAAAAUAUAGAUU